UGGGUAACCUGCCCAGAUGACCGGGACAACCCGAGGAAACUCGGGCUAAUACCGGAUGUGCUCCCUCACAUCAGUGAGACGAGUAAAGGAAGCUUCGGCCUCCGCAUUGGGAUGGGCCCGCGGCCCAUUAGCUUGUUGGUGGGGUAAUGGCCUACCAAGGCAACGAUGGGUAGCUGGUCUGAGAGGACGAUCAGCCACACUGGGACUGAGACACGGCCCAGACUCCUACGGGAGCAG
rnacentral:rRNA from 1 species